GUCUAUGGCCAUGCCACUCUGAACAAGCCUGAUCCUGUCUGAUCUUGGAAACUAAGCAGGGACGGGCCUGGUUAUUACUUGGAUGGGAGACUACCUAGGAAGACCAGGUGCUGUAGGCA
rnacentral:rRNA from 1 species